rnacentral:rRNA from 1 species
GUCUAUGGCCAUGCCACCCUGAACAAGCCCGAUUCCGCCUGAUCUUGGAAGCUAAGCAGGGUCAGGGCUGGUUAGUACUUGGAUGGGAGACUACCUAGGAAGACCAGGUGCUGUAGGCG